GACGAAGGGGGCUAGCGUUGUUCGGAAUUACUGGGCGUAAAGCGUGUGUAGGUGGUUGCCAUAGUCAGGUGUGAAAGCCUUGAGCUCAACUCAAGAAAUGCACUUGAUACUGGGCAGCUAGAGGACCGGAGAGGAUAGUGGAAUUCCCAGUGUAGUGGUGAAAUACAUAGAGAUUGGGAAGAACACCAGUGGCGAAGGCGGCUAUCUGGACGGUUUCUGACACUAAGACACGAAAGCGUGGGGAGCAAACAGG
rnacentral:rRNA from 1 species